rnacentral:misc_RNA from 1 species
UCAACGUCUGCCUUGUCUUCGUCAUCGCCGCGCGUGGCAGCGCUCACACUCGCCUCCUUUUCGUUCUCUUUGUUUGCUUUACUUCCUUGCCGUACCCCAAUCCCGUACGUCUCUCUCGUGCCCUCUCGUGGCUCUCACCGAGGUGCCGAGCAUCACACACGCACAGCCGACAAGCGACAGCGGCAACCGCCGCUUAUAAGUCAGUGCUCCGGCCAACUUGACCUUUUACUUCGCUCCCCCCUCUACUCGACGUACUUGCACCUCUGUCUUUAAUCGAGAUCUCGCUGUGCUGGCGCACUCCCGUGACAGGACCAUACACGGUGAGCAGCCCGUACACUUAUACCCAGUUGGGCCCCUCUGCACUGGCGAGAGCGAGAGGGGAGCGAGAUUACCUGCGACCGCUGCGUGCGUGUGUGUGGCUGUUUUUGUGUGGAGCGCGGCAGGGGUUGGAGAGACAGCGAGGCGGAUAAGCACAUCCAGGCACGCACAUGCAGCGAGCAAGAAGUAUCGUUGUGCCCUAGUCGACCCCGCCGUCUUCGCACGCUCUCCCUUUCUUCUCCAUCAGCAGCAUUUCUCGCCUGCUAUUGCACUCCGCAAGCCUUCAAUCUCGCUGCGCCUGCACGCGUCUCCGUGUGCGUGUGCGUGUGUCGAGGCUGUACCAGAGGGUACGUCGCCCCUCUUCUUUUCUACAUCUAUUUUUGUUUAGUUUUGCAGCGCUUUAGCGUUGCUUGGCUUGAAGAUGAACCCCUACUACGUUGCCCCGCCGCCGCCGCCGCAGCAGCAGCAAUCGCGGCCUUCCGUGGAUUUGGACGACCUCUUCGGAGGUCCCACCGCAGCCAACGAGCACAAGCCCUUCCACGCCGCUCCAGGCGAGCCAGCCCCACCCUCGUACGAUGCCCUUAACGGCGGGUACUCGUCAGCGCCACCCCCGGCGCAUCAUGCUGCUGCAUCGGAGCCGCAGCAGUUGCACAACGGAAACGUCAGCGGUAACCAAAGCCUUUACUACGGAGCGGCCCAUCAGCAGCAGCAGCAGCCAUAUGGUCUGCCAGCUGCUGUUCCGGCCUCCGCCUCUCCAUACGGGAUGCCGUCUCCGCCUCAAGCGUUCUCGUCGUCAUCGCCGAUUACGCCUGGCACGGCACCGCCCCUGCAACCACAACCGCAACAACAGCAGUACGGGGCAGACCCACGUCUUUACGGCGCGUACCCUGCGAUGCCCGCAAACGGCAUGGCACCAGCAGCACCUCCGCUUCAGCAACAGCCACAGGUGUACGGGCAGCCGCAGCCGCAACCGAUGCCUGGACCAGUGCAGCAGCAGCAGUCGUUUGUCCAGAGCAGCAGCGUUAGUCCUAGUGGAGCUGCUGCUGUUGCGGGCCCGACAACGGCGGCCGGCGUGGGCAGUGGCGCGGCGCCGUCCCGGUCUGCGGAAGAGGAAGACCGUCUGCAGUUGGAGCGCAUCAUUCGCCUGCGCCGCGAGCUGGAGCUGGAGCAGGAGCGGGAGCAGCGGAAGAAAGAGGAGCUGCAGACGUGGGGCUGCCCUAUUUGCACCUUCCGCAACAAGCUCAACGAGGUGAAGUGCGAGAUGUGCGGCUCUACGAGGCCCGGGUACACGGCACCCGCUUCAGCGGAGCCGCCAGCCCAGCCCCAGCAACAACAACACCAGCCUCGUCCUGCUGCGACACCCUCGCAGGUCAACGCUGGCGUCACGGACUGGCAGUGUGGCAUGUGCCUCGCCCCGAAUGAGGCGCAUGCGGAGCGGUGUAAGGUGUGCUACGCCUACCGUAGUAGCGGCAUCCCGGUGCCGACAGUGUCUCCAUCUGGCGCCGCGGCCAACGCGAACCACAACGGCGUUGCCUCCAACACGCCGUUCACGACAAACUGGAAGUGCAGCGUGUGCGGUGAGGUAAAUCCGCCAUCAAAGGCGAACUGCAAGGUUUGCAGCGGGUUCCAGCGUAACGGCACCGCGGUCACGGACGCCGUCCCGGCGCCGAGCACCGGGAGCGGCUACGGAGCCCAGGCGACUAGCAGCGCUGACCCGCCGCUGCCGAUGGUGUGGUCGUGCUCCGUGUGCACCUUUGAAAACUCCGUCUCAGCUGCGGUGUGCAAGGCGUGUGAGAGCGGUCAGCGUCCGCGCCACUUGGCCCCCAAGAGGGACAAGGAGAAGUCCACUAGCAGCAAGCAGCAUGACAGCCGUGUCAGCGGCGCCAAGGACGGCAGCGGCGACGGUGAGAAGAAAUGCUCAUCGUCCAAGUCGCAGUGGCCGUGUGGGACGUGCACGUUCUUGAACCCGAUUGGCCGGAAAAAGUGCGACAUGUGCGGUGCAAAGCGGCCGGAGUCGUACGCCGCGGAGGCGGACACGACGGAGGCACGGGCGGCGGCCAAGCAGGAGGCUCAGGACGAUGCCGAGGAAGUGGCAUGGCAAGACGACGACUCGGUGACGGAGUGCAACAACUGCCACACAACCUUCACGUUUCUCAUCCGCCGACACCACUGCCGACUGUGCGGGUACGUGUUCUGCGCGCACUGCUCCAACUACUCUGUGCCGCUCACCAUGGGCAGCCUGCCGCAGCGCGUUUGUGUGAACUGCUACAAGGCGCGAUUAGAAGAGGAGAAGAAGACGAAGAAGGCGCGCCGCUGGCUGGAUAGUUAGCGACGGUGUGUGGACGGAUGGGGAGACACAGCAAAGUGGGGAAUGAAGUGUGGGGUCGGCAUGCGUGUUGUUUUGUUUCUUUCCUGCUCAUACCACUGACACCCCUAUGCAUGCUUGGGCAUAUGAGGGUGGCGUCUUCUCCUCUCCGCCUGCUCUUCUGUUCUCUCUCUGCACGCCUGCCUUGUCGAAAGCUCUCUUCCCCUUCCUGGCUGCUGUUUUCUUUCUCCGAGUGCGUCGCCAUUAUUAUUGCUGCUCUUCUUGCUUGGCGUGUCUGCUUCAGAUGGUUCUGUCUGUCUACGUGCGUGUGUGUGUAGGUGUGUAUUGGGGGCCGUCUGCCUCUCUUUUUCCUCCCUUGCCGCUGAGCACGCUUGUGACUGGGCUUUCCCGUUAGUGUGUAUACAUGUCCAGCAUACCUUCCCACCACUCCCAUCGCCAUCCACAUCAUCUGCCACCAUGACGUAUUUCAGUGAGCGCUGCCGAUUUCUUCGAGUUGUACUUGCUUCUCUGUUCUCCGAAUGAUCCUGUCGCAGUGCUUGAUUUAGGAUUGCGCGUUUGAGCUCGCUUGCGUCUUGUCUUCUGUCUGUCUUUCCCCACUUCGCAUGCUGCUGCCCCGCCCCCCUCCCCACCCCACCCUUGGUCGUGUGCUCUUCCCCUUUCGGCGCCUCUCCGUCCGCCUAUUGCUUGGAUGCGCUCUUUGCUGUUGUUGUGUCUAUGUAGCCGCUUCCACUGGCGAUCUUCUCUUUCUGUUGCCCUGUUCUCUCUAUAUAUACACCUACAUACAUGCACAUACACAUCUAUGGCGAGUUCUGCAGCUAUGGGGCCUCGGGUCGUCGUAAGAGGGAAUACUGUCAUCGCAGCUGCUAUCAUCACCUCUUUCUCGUGCCACCGCACUCGCACGUGACUCCACAUCUAUGAAGCACUUCUUGUGGAGAGUGUACUCGAUGCAGAUAUGUGUGUGUGUCUUUUUCUCCACCUUAUUUCAACGGAAGGUGAGGGGAAGGCGACGAGGGGGACGGCGGAUGCAGGCGGCCAGCCACACGGGUGUCGCUGCUCCUUUCUUUGAAAAAAAAAAAAUUCACCAGCACCGCCAUCGUCGCAGCCCACCUCCCCUCCCCUCCCCCACCCCACCCGCGCGCUUUCCACUACUCCCUUAUCAUCUCACGUUUGUGUGUGUGUGUGUGUGUGUGUACCCCACUGACAACGAUGAUGAUGGUACCCUUUAUUUGCCUCUGUUCUCUGGUCUGUUGUUGUUUGUGUAUGUGUGGGUCGCGGCGGGGAGGUGCGUACGGGGUGUCCCCCACCCCCUCCCCUCUCUCUCGCCCUCGACCCCUUGAGUGGUUCUGGAUUUUCUCGACCUCUCUUCAGCGUCUUUGUGUCAACAAGUAUGUGCCUGUGCGUGUGUGCGUGUUUGAUGAUCGCAUCCUGUUAUAUCCUUGUGCUCCUGUACGCUCUUGCUUCGGCGUGUUCAUUUCCGGAAAAAAAGAAGCGAAAAGGGGAGAUCAGACAACGAAUUGCAAUGAACGAAGUGAAAGGAGUAGCGAGGGAAGAGGGAGAAAGAGCGAGAGCACGCGUCGCAGCAGCAGCAGCUGCUGUGGCGGCCGUAGUUGGCCAAUAGCACGAAGUCCAUGCGGCGGAAUGGCACGGCAAGAAAUAAAAAUAGG